AUUGAACGCUGGCGGCAGGCCUAACACAUGCCAGUCGAGCGGAUGAAGGGAGCUUGCUCCUGGAUUCAGCGGCGGACGGGUGAGUAAUGCCUAGGAAUCUGCCUGGUAGUGGGGGAUAACGUCCGGAAACGGGCGCUAAUACCGCAUACGUCCUGAGGGAGAAAGUGGGGGAUCUUCGGACCUCACGCUAUCAGAUGAGCCUAGGUCGGAUUAGCUAGUUGGUGGGGUAAAGGCCUACCAAGGCGACGAUCCGUAACUGGUCUGAGAGGAUGAUCAGUCACACUGGAACUGAGACACGGUCCAGACUCCUACGGGAGGCAGCAGUGGGGAAUAUUGGACCAUGGGCGAAAGCCUGAUCCAGCCAUGCCGCGUGUGUGAAGAAGGUCUUCGGAUUGUAAAGCACUUUAAGUUGGGAGGAAGGGCAGUAAGUUAAUACCUUGCUGUUUUGACGUUACCAACAGAAUAAGCACCGGCUAACUUCGUG
rnacentral:rRNA from 1 species